AACGCUGGCGGCAGGCUUAACACAUGCAAGUCGAGCGGGGAAAGGUAGCUUGCUACCUGACCUAGCGGCGGACGGGUGAGUAAUGCUUAGGAAUCUGCCUAUUAGUGGGGGACAACAUUCCGAAAGGAAUGCUAAUACCGCAUACGCCCUACGGGGGAAAGCAGGGGAUCUUCGGACCUUGCGCUAAUAGAUGAGCCUAAGUCAUAUUAGCUAGUUGGUGGGGUAAAGGCCUACCAAGGCGACUAUCUGUAGCGGGUCUGAGAGGAUGAUCCGCCACACUGGGACUGAGACACGGCCCACACUCCUACGGGAGGCAGCAGUGGGGAAUAUUGGACAAUGGGCGAAAGCCUGAUCCAGCCAUGCCGCGUGUGUGAAGAAGGCCUUUUGGUUGUAAAGCACUUUAAGCGAGGAGGAGGCUACUUAUAUUAAUACUCUAGGAUAGUGGACGUUACUCGCAAAAUAAGCACCGGCUAACUCUGUGCCAGCAGCCGCGGUAAUACAGAGGGUGCGAGCGUUAAUCGGAUUUACUGGGCGUAGAGCGUGCGUAGGCGGCUUUUUAAGUCGGAUGUGAAAUCCCUGAGCUUAACUUAGGAAUUGCAUUCGAUACUGGGAAGCUAGAGUAUGG
rnacentral:rRNA from 1 species